rnacentral:rRNA from 1 species
GAUGAACGCUGGCGGCGUGCUUAACACAUGCAAGUCGAACGAUGAAGCCCAGCUUGCUGGGUGGAUUAGUGGCGAACGGGUGAGUAACACGUGAGCAACCUGCCCCUGACUCUGGGAUAAGCGCUGGAAACGGCGUCUAAUACUGGAUAUGUCCCGUCACCGCAUGGUGUGCGGGUGGAAAGAUUUUUCGGUUGGGGAUGGGCUCGCGGCCUAUCAGCUUGUUGGUGAGGUAAUGGCUCACCAAGGCGUCGACGGGUAGCCGGCCUGAGGGGGUGACCGGCCACACUGGGACUGAGACACGGCCCAGACUCCUACGGGAGGCAGCAGUGGGGAAUAUUGCACAAUGGGCGGAAGCCUGAUGCAGCAACGCCGCGUGAGGGAUGACGGCCUUCGGGUUGUAAACCUCUUUUAGCAGGGAAGAAGCGAAAGUGACGGUACCUGCAGAAAAAGCACCGGCUAACUACGUG